rnacentral:lncRNA from 1 species
AAAACCAGUGAUCCAAAUCCAUAUCCAAUUCACCAAAUUGCAUAUGUUUAAUUUGAACAUCCUUAAUUUGCUUCCAAAGAUUGUUAAGCAAUUUUGAGGAAGACUUUGUAGUACAUACUAAGCUAUACUUCGAUUGAUAUGUAUUCAGCUGUGAUACAUAAAGAUAAGAGAAAACAAACAAGUAAAAGUCAGUUUAACACAUUCUCGCUACAUUUACAUAAUUUGAUGACAUCUUCAGUUGCAUGGUCAAUCAAUUGAGUCUUCUACAUGGUUAAUCAACCUUUGAACUGGCUUAGCAGUCUACUUCCGUCCUACCUCAGUUAAGGCAAAAGAGAAAAAGAAAAACAAGAAUGCCAAAAAAAAAAGAAAAGAAAAGAAAAUGAUAAGUGAAUGCUAAAUAUCAAUCU